GUCCAUAUAUACAGUGAAUGCAUAAUUAUUUUGAUUUUUUAAAUAUUUUGUGUUUUUCAGUUAGUACCGUAGGAAGGCGUCCCAGAAAAAAUAAUAAAAUAGCCUUGCCAGACGUCAUAAUUAUUUGGGCAUGUUCUCGCCCAUUUAAAUAUGCAAUAGAAAUUCUAAAUGAGAAUAUUAUUUGGCCGGUAACAGCAUUUAG
rnacentral:lncRNA from 1 species